CACGUAGGGUGCGAGCGUUGUCCGGAAUUAUUGGGCGUAAAGAGCUCGUAGGCGGCUUGUUGCGUCGACCGUGAAAACCCGUGGCUCAACUGCGGGCUUGCGGUCGAUACGGGCGGGCUAGAGUUCGGUAGGGGAGACUGGAAUUCCUGGUGUAGCGGUGAAAUGCGCAGAUAUCUGGAGGAACACCGGUGGCGAAGGCGGCAUUCUGGACUGUAACUGACACUGAGGAACGAAAGCCAGGGGAGCAAACGGG
rnacentral:rRNA from 1 species